GGUUUGAUCGUAUAACGGUUAGUACACAAGAUUCUGAAGACCAACAGCCCCCCUUCUCCUCCUUCCAGAGGUCGAGGUGGCGUCCUACCUGUCGUCGUUCUUGUAAUCUGGGUUCGAUUCCCAGUCGGACCU